CCUACGGGAGGCAGCAGUGAGGAAUAUUGGUCAAUGGGCGCGAGCCUGAACCAGCCAAGUAGCGUGAAGGAUGACUGCCCUACGGGUUGUAAACUUCUUUUAUAAAGGAAUAAAGUGAGGCACGUGUGCCUUUUUGUAUGUACUUUAUGAAUAAGGAACGGCUAAUUCCGUGCCAGCAGACGCCGUAAUUCGGAGGAGGCGACCGUUAUCCGGAGUUAGGGGGUUUAAGGGGUGCGUAGGCGGAAGGCCAAGUCAGCGGUAAAAUCUCGGGGCUCAACCUCGCUCCGCCGUGGAAACUGGCGUUCUUGAGUGGGCGAGAAGUAUGCGGAAUGCGUGGUGUAGCGGUGAAAUGCAUAGAUAUCACGCAGAACUCCGAGUGCGAAGGCAGCAUACCGGCGCCCAACUGACGCUGAAGCACGAAAGCGUGGGUAUCGAACAGGAGUAGAUACCCGAGUAGUC
rnacentral:rRNA from 1 species